UAAAAAGAAUAUUUUUUUCUUCACUCUGCUGAGGGGAAUGUACCCAUGCUUCAACAGUUUUACCCAGGAUACACUUCUGCAAAACCACUCCAGUAUUGGACCAGUUUACCCCACUCCACCAUGGAUGUCCUACUUGUGAUGUGGACCUGAACCACCGCCAUGUUAGAGUCACUCUUUCAGGUCUUGUGGAGUAUCCUUCCCGAUUUGCAGGAACCAGCGUGGAUGAAGGGACCGGACAGUUCCCCUGCUGUACCAUGGGUGACCUACUUGGGAUGUGGACCUGAACCUCCGCCAUGUUGCAGACAUCCCCCCCCCCCUCAGGUCUUGCGGAGUAUCCUUCCCAAGGUGCAGCUACCAGCGUGGAUGUCAAGGGACAAGACAGUCCCCCUGCUGUACCAUGGGCAACCUACCAUAAUACCACUGCAUCUCUGAAAUACACUAUUUUACAUUUUAUCAACUAAUAAUGUAAAGAAAAACCACACAAAACUUCUCAUUUAAAAAAUUUAU